rnacentral:lncRNA from 10 species
CUAGCAUAUGGUCUGUUCUGGAGAAUACAUCUAUGAUGCACUCCACCAAACAGUAGCAGAAUAUAUAUAUAUCCUUUUCAAGUGCACAUGAAACAUUCUCCAGAAUAGACGAUAUGCUAGGUCAAAAAACAGGUGUCAGUACAUUUAACAGUACUAAAAUAAUACUAAAUACGUUCUCUGAGCACAAUGGCAUGAAAUUAGAAAUAAAUAACGAAGGACAUUUGGAAAAUUCACAAAAAGUGGAAAUUAAACAGAAUACUUGUAAAUAACCAAUGGGUGAAAGAAGAAAUCAUGAGGGAAAUUAGCAAAUACUUUGGGUUAGAUGAAAACAACAACAAAACAUACCAAAACCUAUGGGAUGCAGCUAAAGCAGUAUUUAGAAUGACAUUUAUAACUGUAAACAUCUAUAUUAAAAAAGAAUGAUAGUGAAUCAAUAACCUAUAUUUCUGCCUUAAGAAAUUAGAGGCCGGGCGCGGUGGCUCACACCUGUAAUCCCAG